CCCACAGCCUCCCGAGCCUCAGCCAUCACCAUGUAAAUGCUAAUGAAUGACAAGCGCCACAGAGGACUUUCAUCUUACCAUUUGAAGAGGAAGUUGGCUCUGGACAUGGAACAAGGAUGGUUUCUGCCUUGCUUUGACACAACUAAUGGAGGCCACUGAAAUAAUCUUUCCCACUAGGAAGGCUGUCACAAGUCCCCUUCUCCAGAGAUCAUCUUGAAUGGGAAGAGAAGAGAGGUGACCUUUGCUAUGGAUGCAUGCACCACAAGUGUGAGGCCCCACGGUUGCCACCAGGAAUAGCUAUCUACCCAGGACCUGAUGAAGCGCUGUCCAGACAGCUCUGUAAUCCUAUACCAGCACACCAAUAUGUGUGCUAAACUGAUCAAUAAUAAGAUUGAUACAUCUUCUACUUGGGAAAGAAAGAAUGAAGGUCCGCAACCAACACCAAGCUCUGAGAAGUUGACUUGGAUGAUGUUCUACCCAGCUCUCAUCUAAAGGAGUAGAGUCCCCAAGCCAGAGGAAGCUGUCAGAGAGCUUCUCAGCUGUGAAGAUUCUAUGAGGUCCCAAAGGUUAAUGAUGCCAGUUACAGAAGCUUGACAGAGCAAAAGGGGAAGGAUGUGUCACUUGGCUGUGUGGCUGGCUGAUCUUAGGGAAUGAGAAAGCAAAUGUGAUGGAGGUGACCAAGGGGUGACAAUGCUUCACCACCAUCAUGAAGAGCAUACAGGGGACUGGGGGUCAGAGGGAAGUGAGGAUAGGGAAGUAGGGAGUGUGCUUGGUUUGGAAAAUGUAGAUUAUUGAUGCACCCUUGAGCUGUUUAGACAGAGGUGGCCAAAGACAGCUGGAGGAUGGUGACUUCAUAUUAGGAUUCAGGGCUGCCACACCACUCAGCUUCAGGAGUUACCUGUCCUCUUGUUUUCCAUGUGCCUAGUGCUUCUCAGAGUUGUGUAGUGUGGUGGCCUUGGGAAAGGGUCACUACUAAUAGUUUCAAGAAGCCUGAAAAUCAAUGCAACACAUCUACCUGCAUUCAGAAAAAAUAUCUCCUACUUUUGCUUGACUGAUGUAGGUCAAUAUAACACCCCUGCGGAACUCACAUCUCCACACAGGUAUGUGGACUAUGGUCACGCUCUUUCAUGGUACAUUAGCUGUACAUACACAGCCACACUGUCAGUUUCAGGACGGAGGUGGAAUACUCCAUCCUGUUUGGACAUCCCUUGCCCUCACAGCUCUGAAAGACUGCUGUUGCAACAUCUGCCCAGGUGUGUGUCAGCCUACCUAUGGGAACCUGAACCCCAAAGUCCUCUUGAGUGUGGUUAGUUCCUAUCAGCUCCAUUCCUAUCACUCCACAUCCCUUUCAUGUUUCUUUCCUGGAUAUAUUUUCCUUUAUAUUAUUCAAGAAACAUUAAAUAAAAGUU
rnacentral:lncRNA from 1 species